UCAGCGGUACUUCGACCGUGCAAAGGUAGCACAAUCAUUUGCCUUAUAAUUGAAGGCUAGUAUGAAUGGUUUGACAAGAAUAUAGCUGUCUCUUUAUGGCUAUUUAGAAUUUUAUUUAUAGGUGAAGAAGCCUAUAUUUCAUUAAUAGACGAGAAGACCCUAUCGAGCUUCAAAUAAAUUAAUAGAUAUAGAUCAAUUAAAUAAUAACUAAAAUAAAAACUAUUAAAUAUUCUUAGUUAGUUGGGGCGACUGAGGAACAAUAAAAGCUUCCUUUAAGCAUUUUAAUAAACUAUACUAGUUUUAAUCCAAAAACUUUUUGAUCAAAGAAAUUAGCUACCGUAGGGAUAACAGCAUAAUCCCUUUUGAGAGUUCCUAUCGAAAAGGGGGUUUGUGACCUCGAUGUUGGACUAGAAUAUCCCAAAGAUGCAGCAGUCUUUAAAGGUUGGUCUGUUCGACCAUUAAAUUCUACGUGAAAAA
rnacentral:rRNA from 1 species